rnacentral:rRNA from 1 species
AUUGAACGCUGGCGGAAUGCUUUACACAUGCAAGUCGAACGGCAGCACGGACUUCGGUCUGGUGGCGAGUGGCGAACGGGUGAGUAAUACAUCGGAACGUGCCCAGUCGUGGGGGAUAACGUAGCGAAAGCUACGCUAAUACCGCACACGAUCUAAGGAUGAAAGCGGGGGAUCGCAAGACCUCGCGCGAUUGGAGCGGCCGAUGGCAGAUUAGGUAGUUGGUGGGGUAAAGGCUCACCAAGCCGACGAUCUGUAGCUGGUCUGAGAGGACGACCAGACACACUGGGACUGAGACACGGCCCAGACUCCUACGGGAGGCAGCAGUGGGGAAUUUUGGACAAUGGGCGCAAGCCUGAUCCAGCCAUUCCGCGUGCAGGAUGAAGGCCCUCGGGUUGUAAACUGCUUUUGUACGGAACGAAAAGGCUCUGGUUAAUACCCGGGGCUCAUGACGGUACCGUAAGAAUAAGCACCGGCUAACUACGUGCCAGCCGCCGCAGUAAAAC